AAUUUAAAGUCUAAUUCUGCCACUGAUAUAAUUAUUAAAGGGCUGCAGUAUAUUGACUGUACAAAGGUAGCAUAAUCAUUACUCUUUUAAUUGAAGACUUGUAUGAAAGAUUUGAUGAAAUAUUAACUGUCUCUGAUUUAUUUAUAUAAAAUUUAAUUUUUUAGUUAAAAAGCUAAAAUAAAAUUAAAAGACGAGAAGACCCUAUAGAGUUUUAUAAUUAUAAUAAUUAAUAAAUAUCUUAUUUAUAUAUAAAUAAAGAAAAAUUAUUUUAAUUAUUUUAUUGGGGUGAUAAAAAAAUUAAAAAAACUUUUUUUUUAUUUAAACAUAAAUAAGUGAAAGAAUGAUCCAUUAAUAAUGAUUAUAAGAAAAAAUUACCUUAGGGAUAACAGCGUAAUAUUUUUUUUUAGUACAAAUAAAAAAAAAAGUUUGCGACCUCGAUGUUGGAUUAAAAUAAAAUUUAAAUGCAAAAGUUUAAAAUUUUGAUCUGUUCGAUCAUUAAAAUCUUACAUG
rnacentral:rRNA from 1 species